GUGUUUGGCACCUCGAUGUCGGCUCAUCACAUCCUGGGGCUGAAGUAGGUCCCAAGGGUAUGGCUGUUCGCCAUUUAAAGUGGUACGCGAGCUGGGUUUAGAACGUCGUGAGACAGUUCGGUCCCUAUCUGCCGUGGGCGCUGGAGAACUGAGGGGGGCUGCUCCUAGUACGAGAGGACCGGAGUGGACGCAUCACUGGUGUUCGGGUUGUCAUGCCAAUGGCACUGCCCGGUAGCUAAAUGCGGAAGAGAUAAGUGCUGAAAGCAUCUAAGCACGAAACUUGCCCCGAGAUGAGUUCUCCCUGACUCCUUGAGAGUCCUGAAGGAACGUUGAAGACGACGACGUUGAUAGGCCGGGUGUGUAAGCGCAGCGAUGCGUUGAGCUAACCGGUACUAAUGAACCGUGAGGCUUAACCUUACAACGCCGAAG
rnacentral:rRNA from 1 species